UCGUGCCAGCCACCGCGGUCAUACGAUUAACCCAAACUAAUAGAUCCACGGCGUAAAGCGUGUUACAGAGAAAAACAUACUAAAGUUAAACCUUAGCUAGGCCGUAAAAAGCUACAGCUAACAUAAAAAUACAGCACGAAAGUAACUUUAACACCUCCGACUACACGAUAGCUAAGACCCAAACUGGGAUUAGAUAC
rnacentral:rRNA from 1 species